rnacentral:lncRNA from 1 species
GCUGGUUGGGCCCACCUGCAGUGUCCUGGAGGCUCUCUGAUGUCGGUGGAGUUGAGCUGACCUGUGGGACCCACCAAAGUGGGGUCGCCCGACCCCAAUUCUAUGGGGUUAGGGUGUCAGCCCUGUCCUACAUGUCUUCCUCUUCAUGACUAUAAUGUUGUCUUGGUUACUGGUGUCACUGAUCUUUAGUUAUUCACCCCUUCUUAGUGUUUGGACCCUUGAAAAGUACCUGUUCUUACUCCUGCAACCAAAUAGUAGCAUGUACAUGUGGAACUAGGUUAUAUGUACCUAUAUUACUACUUUGUUUGGUUGUUUUCUCCCAAAAUGAGUCUUAUGUUGACGGUUAUGAUAGUAGAAAACAUGGUAUAAAUACCGUCAACAAGACCCCCCACACUUGAGUCUUUGCUCGUCCUCGAGUAAAGGUUAAAAAUGAGUGAUCAAUGGUUUCUAACUUAAGAUAGUAGUGAGCAUAAAAUGCUAGUUCGAACAUAGUUCAUCCAAAUGGGUUUUUGUGUAAGUGUCUAGCAUAUAUCCUUCAGAGGUUGAGAAAAGGAACAACUCUCAGAACAAGAUCAAAUUCCAAUUUCAUAUUCUUGGUACUUAGAGUUUUUAUGACACUUUUUAAAAUAAGUCACAUAGUUCAAUCCUACUCCUCAUUUAGCGCUCUAGAUCACUCAAAGUUUUUUAGUAGUCCUCACCAAGGCAUGAAUGCCAACUUGUUUCAUCCUAUAAUUAUAGGCUUAUAUGGGGCUUGGUAGGGAUAAACAAGGUAGCAUACUCUACUUUGCAAAUAUUGUUAAGUCAAAAACAAGGAUCCAAAGAGAGGAGUGUCAUAGUCAUAGAUCAAGAUGUGCAAGUGUGUUAUAUGGUGGACUAGGUUGCUCCUUUAUUUACUACACUCUCUCUACUUGUAUAUUGAGACAUGGCUAGAUUUUCUUUUUUCUUCGAGCUUUAUGUGCUCAAUUUUUUUUUUCAUGGACUUGCACAUGUCCAUCUUUUCUUUUUCUUUUAUUUUUCCAAGCCCUUUUAUGUCUCAUUUUCUAAACAAUAUUUAGAGAGGUGUUCUAACACUUAGAGUAUGGAGCAACCUAUUUAGUGGAUGCACAAUACAUGUGGUUGCGUACUUCCAGUGUAGAAGCAGCAUAUAUAUAUGUGGUGUGUACGUGAUCUUGAUCUUGUGACUAUGAUACAACUCUCACUAGGGUCAACAAGGUUUUGACAAAACUCAUUACAAAAGCAGGUUGCAUUUCAUAAAAUGGUUACUUGAAUAUCUAAGUGUAUGGCUUCUAAUGAGGAGUAAAUGAUACUAUGGUUUUGUGAUAUUUUUGAAACAAAUCUCUAAGUACCUUGAAUAGAAAUGUUAUGAAUUCUUAGCCAAGAGUUAUAUCACUUUCAUCAACAACUUAGUCAAUAUGGUUCCUAUAGAUUUUUACCCAUGAGGAUGAACAAUUGUAAGAACUAUACUUUAUGUCACUAUUUCUCUUAAAUCAUGUACCAGUUCACUUUUUAUUUUGCAAACAAGUUUAAACUAUCAAAUUUUAUUUUAAUUGUGACACAAAGGUAAAGAAUUGGACAGACUGAGAGGGGGAGGAAUUAGCAAACCGGGCAGAAAAGAUGUCUUUCGUCAUAUAGAAGCUGCCUGGUGGGCCUAGGGCUCCAUGGAAGGGUCGGCCGACCCCACCUGGAGGUUCCUGGCCCUGCCACUCGAUUCUACGUCCCUCGGGAAGUCUUUCUGCACUUGUGUCGUUUCCUUUUGCCAUAGAAAGGGGGUCGGGCGACCCCCUCAUCGCGCCUGUUUUUGGUGCCCUGACGUGCCGAGGUGUAUGCAGUGUUGUUCCAUGCUCACGGCAGUUCAGAGAUGAAGUUGGGGGGUCGGGCGACCCCCCCACACUUGCAGUUUUCGUGCAGCUGAACUUACAACAGAGAGAGAUGAUCAAAUGCAGACGUCCUGCUGGUGGCAACACACCAGCAGGACCAAAAGCAACUCUAUUAGAUCAAAUUUCAAUUGUAUAGGCACUUUUACAUUGUGAAAUUCAAAGUGACAAAUUGGAAAAUAAAAUUGAGUAAUCAAACCUAAAUAAUCAAAUAGUGCCUAUAACCUAAACUAACUAAUUUAUUUAGGGAGAUGGAGGUUUGAGGAGAUCCUCCCGCCCAAUUGCUUGUGCCAAACGCUUGAUUUUAGCGCUGGUGCUAAUGCGCAGGUGGCGGAAGUGAUCUUCUAACUCAAGAUUCUCCAUCCUGAGCUCCGACACUGUCUCCUCUAAGAUCCUAUUUUUCUUUCUAAGGCUAGCUGUGACUUCCAGGAGCUUCUCGAUGUCGCCUUUUUCUGGAUCUUCUUCGUAUUUGCCAGGCGCACCGUUGAUCGGAGGUGGAUCCAUCUUCCGCCGGAUGGAUGGACUUGCUGACGAGUCAAAGGACUCUCGCAACUCCAUCUUUUCCUUAGAGUUCAACGGCGGGAUCAGCACCUUCCCCUUUCCCGGCCCACCGCCCACCACUUGGUGGUUCCUCCAAAAGGUUGGGGUGGACGGCGAGUAGGAAGAGGUGUGGAUCGUGUCGGAGGAGAUGGUGAUGGCCUGCUUGGUGGCCAUCGGCGCCUUCUCCCGCAGCGCAAGUUGGCCCGUGGUAGGUCGAACCGGCGUUACGGCUCGAGCAGGGGACUUGCCGAUACCCCUGCGCGGUGUGAGCGAACGAGAGGCCGACGCGGAGCGCUGGGUCACCCGGGGCGAGGUCGGGCGACCCCUCUUGGGGUCGGGCGACCCCCACAUGGGGCCCGUCGGCCCUCCAGCCGGCGGCACCAUGGCUAGUGGUUCAGGCUCCAGCACGUUGACGGCUAGGGCAAACUCCAGGCUCUCAGUUAGAGACCUUUGCGGACGUGGGGAGUUGGAGCGAAUGGCUUGGUUGGAAGAUUUAGUUGGAGGGGCCAUGGAGAUGGAUCUCUUGGCAAGGAAUGGAGGCUAGGAGAGUCUGGUUCGAGGUGAAGAUGAGAAGGAAUGAAUUGAGAGGAGGAAGAAGAAGAAGAGGGGGGAUAAAUAGAUGUGUUUGGAGCCUGAGAGUUUGAAUUUUGAAAAGGAGCGUCGUGGAACGUUUGAGGGACGAUCCGAGACUCCAGGGGAUUUCAAAACUCAAAAUAUUGGGGGUCGGGCGACCCCUAUAUUUCAGGAUUUUGAAUUUCACCACCGAACUCUAUUCAUUCCCCUCUUUCUAAACCUAUUCCCCCUUGGGCCAAAACCCCUAGAAGAGGGGUCGGCCGACCCCCAUUUGGGGUGUUCGGCGGCCCAACUUCGAUCCUACAUCAUCUAAAACCCUUUUAAAACCUAUUUCCAAACAAAAGGAACUAAAUAUAUUGGUUUAGCAAAAAAAAUUUUUAUUUUUUUUUAUUUUUUUUUAACAAAAGGAGGUAAAAAGAAGGACAUGUGGAUUUUAAGACUUUAUGUCAGAUUCAAAUUCUAUCAUAUCAACUUCUUUUCUAAAGGUUCAUGUUCAUGGAAAACUUUAAGACGAUGACCAUUUACCUUAAAGAUGUUGCCGUCGUCGUCCCGCAGUGUUACCGCUCCAUGAGUCGCGGCGUCAACAACGAAGAAUGGUCCUUCCCAUUUGCUCCUUAGCUUUCCAUGGCCAAAUAACUUAACCCUUGAGUUGAACAUGAGAACCUUAUCCCCAGGAUGAAAUUCCUUUUGCUUGAUCCUUUUAUCAUGCCAUCUUUUUGUUCUCUCUUUGUAGAUCCUGGCAUUGUGAUAGGCUUUAUCUCUCCAUUCUUCUAGUUCGGAGAUUUGGAGCUUUCUAUUUCUUCCGGCCGAGGGCAAAUCCAUGUUCCAUUUCUUGAUUGCCCAGUGAGCUCUAUGCUCUAGCUCUACCGGUAGAUGGCAUGUCUUACCGUAUACAAGUUGGUAUGGUGUCAUACCAAUUGGGGUCUUGUAUGCGGUCCUGUAUGCCCAAAGUGCAUCUGGUAGAUGGCUUUUCCAGCCAGUUCCCAUCUUAGUGACAGUCUUCUGCAAAAUGUUCUUGAUUUGUUUGUUAGAUGUUUCUGCUUGUCCGCUCGUUUGAGGGUGAUAGGGUGUUCCAAUGUUGUGCCUUAUCCCCACUUCAGCUAAGAACCGUCGGAAUCUUCUGUCAAUGAAGUGGCUCCCUCCAUCACUGAUAACUAGUCUAGGGGUGCCGAAGCGUGGAAAUAUGACUUCCUUGAACAUCUUUAUCGAAUGUGUAGAGUCGGCUGCUCUGCAGGGCAUUGCUUCGACCCACUUGGACACAUAGUCUACUGCCACUAGGAUGUACUCACACCCUUGUGACAAAGGGAAUGGCCCCAUGUAGUCUAUGCCCCAAGCAUCGAAUAUCUCGACUUGUAAGUUGUUUGUGAGUGGCAUUGCAUCACGAGUAUUGAUGUUCCCAUGCUUCUGACACCUUGCACAUCUCCUCACGAAGUUCUUUGUAUCUUCGUACAUGGUAGGCCAGUAGAAUCCACUCUGCCAUAUCUUGGCAUGGGUCCUGAAUGCUCCAUAGUGGCCUCCGUACUCUGCCCCAUGGCAUUUUUCCAUUAUUUUUACUGCCUCGUCCAUGGGAACACAUCUCCUGAGUAUGCCAUCUUGACAGACUCUGUAGAGGUAAGGAUCGUCCCAUAGGUGCACCCUACUCUCUUUAACAAGCUUCUUCUUGUCUACCCCAGGUGGUAUGUAUCCGGACGCCAGGUAGUUGACUAUGUUUGCAUACCAUGGGUAGGCUUCUGAAACUCGGAGGAGUGUGUCGUCUCGAAGGUAGUCGUUGAUAGGUGGAUCCUGUUUAUCCUCGAUUUGCAUCCUAGACAAGUGAUCGGCUACCGAGUUUUCUACUCCCUUUUUAUCUCUAAUUUCUAAGUCAAAUUCUUGGAGUAGUAGGAUCCAUCUUAUUAAUCUUGGUUUAGCAUCUUUUUUUAGUGAGCAAGUAUUUUAGAGCUGCGUGAUCGGAGUAAACAAUCACCUUUGCUCCAACUAAAUAAGAUCUAAACUUGUCUAUAGCAAACACUACAGCCAACAGUUCUUUUUCAGUUGUUGCAUAAUUCAGCUGUGGUCCUGUUAGUGUUUUGCUAGCAUAAGAUAUUGCAUGAUGCUUCUUAUCUUUAGUCUGUCCUAAGACAGCACCUACAGCGUAAUCACUAGCAUCACACAUUAUCUCAAAAGGUAGCGACCAAUCAGGGGGUUGAAUGAUUGGUGCAGAGAUAAGUGCUUUCUUAAGAUAGUAAAAGGAAUCCAAGCACUCAUCAUUAAAAUCAAAGGGUGCAUCCUUAGCUAACAGGUUUGUUAAAGGUCUAGCAAUUUGAGAGAAAUCUUGUAUGAACCUUCUAUAAAAGCCUGCAUGGCCAAGAAAGCUACGGACGCCCCUAACAUUUGUGGGAGGAGGGAGCUGUUCUAUAACUUCAAUUUUAGCUCUAUCUACCUCUAUCCCACGUUCGGACACUCUAUGUCCUAACACUAUCCCUUCUCGAACCAUAAAAUGGCACUUUUCCCAGUUCAAGAUCAAGUGCUUCUCUUGGCACCUUUGUAAGACUCGGUCCAGGUUCUUUAGGCAAUCAUCAAAAGUUUUCCCAUAGACGGAGAAGUCGUCCAUGAAAACUUCCAUGAUUUCCUCGAUCAUAUCGGAGAAGAUGGACAUCAUGCACCUUUGAAAAGAGGCAGGAGCAUUGCAUAGGCCAAAAGACAUGCGCCUAUAUGCAUAUGUUCCGUAGGGGCAUGUGAAUGUAGUCUUACUUUGGUCGUCGGGAUGGAUUGGGAUUUGAUGGUAACCCGAAUACCCAUCAAGGAAGCAGAAGAAAGAGUGUUUGGCUAACCGUUCCAGCAUCUCAUCGAUGAAUGGCAACGGAAAGUGGUCUUUCUUAGUGGCCUUGUUAAGUUUUCGGUAGUCUAUGCACAUUCUCCAUCCUGUGACGGUCCGUUGAGGAAUGAGUUCAUUGUUGUCAUUUUUAACGACCGUCAUUCCUCCUUUCUUAGGAACUACUUGAACGGGGCUGACCCACUCACUGUUCGGAACAGGGUAGAUUAUGCCCGCAUGCAAUAGUUUUAAGACCUCUUUCUUCACAACUUCUCUCAUCGCAUUAUUUAGCCUUCUCUGAGGCUCCCUGGAAGGUAUAGCAUCGGGUUCGAUAGGGAUGCGAUGAGUGCAGAGUGCAGGACUAAUUCCCUUAAGGUCUUCUAAUGAGUAUCCUAAGACAGAGCGGCGUUCUUCUAAGACGGUGAUGAGUUUGGUGACUUCUUCUUCUGUCAGUUGAUCACUAAUGAUUACCGGAGUCUCUCUAUCACCAUUAAGGAAGGCGUACUUAAGUCCAGAGGGAAGUGGCUUAAGUUCUAUAGAGGGUUUUGGUGGUGGUUUAGAUUCAUCCAAGUCUAAUGGUUCUUCUAAUUUGUUCUCUUCUUCUUGGAUGAAGUUUUCGGCGUCUUCUUCUAAGUCAGGCUGAGAAGUGUCCAGAAGAGAUGCCGAUAUCACCUCCUCUAUUGGGUCAGGCUCGGGCGGGGUCUCGGCUUUAGAAUUAAUAGAGCCGGCAAAAGGCAUAGAAAGGUCUAAGCCCUUCCCGAGGUUACCCUUGAAACGCCCUUCAUGAAAUCCAUUUAGGAACCUCAUGAUGGGGUGCCCGAUUAACAAGUCAACUUCUUUCAUAUCAAAGAUAAAGAAGUUUAGCAGAAUGUUGACUUUGUUAAUGGAGACAGGAAUAUUCUGUGCAAUCCCACAACUCUCGACCAUUUCCCCAGAGGGUAAUUUAACGGUAGAGGCAAACUAACAUGUGCAACAUGUGGGCAAGGUCGGUGGGAGGCCAACCGACCCUGGAACCGCCAUGAAGUGGGGUCGGCCGACCCCCUAUCUGGCUGGUUGGGCCCACCUGCAGUGUCCUGGAGGCUCUCUGAUGUCGGUGGAGUUGAGCUGACCUGUGGGACCCACCAAAGUGGGGUCGCCCGACCCCAAUUCUAUGGGGUUAGGGUGUCAGCCCUGUCCUACAUGUCUUCCUCUUCAUGACUAUAAUGUUGUCUUGGUUACUGGUGUCACUGAUCUUUAGUUAUUCACCCCUUCUUAGUGUUUGGACCCUUGAAAAGUACCUGUUCUUACUCCUGCAACCAAAUAGUAGCAUGUACAUGUGGAACUAGGUUAUAUGUACCUAUAUUACUACUUUGUUUGGUUGUUUUCUCCCAAAAUGAGUCUUAUGUUGACGGUUAUGAUAGUAGAAAACAUGGUAUAAAUACCGUCAACAACUAUCCCAUCAACCCAGGCCCUACUCACCCAUGCAUGCAAAAUUGUUUUAGCGAAUUAAAAAAGUCAGAACUCUUAAACCGAAGAUAUAAAUUAAAUUUCGAUUGCACCAUUAAAUUUCUUAUAAAAAAUCCUUUAAAACAAGAUCACACAUGGAUAUAUUUAGAUAAAAUUUUAUUAAUGAAUAUUUAUCUCUACAACUAAAAAUUAUGGAAACGAUCCGUCCACAACUCUCAUCCCUUUGGUGGUCUUUUUUACUGCGCGAUGACACGCUAUCCCAUCAACCUAGGCCCCACUCAUCUAUGCAUGCAAAAUUGUUUUAGCGAAUUAAAAAUAUCGUAACUCAUAAACCAAAGAUAUAAAUUAAAUUCCGAUUGCACCAUUAAAUUUCUUAUGACAAAUCCUUCUAAACAAGAUCACACAUGGAUAUAUUUAGAUAAAAUUUUAUUAAUGAAUAUUUUGUCUUAUAAAAAUAAAAUAUUUUCUUUUAUUAAGUAGAUACAAUAUUCUAGGUUCAACAGACAAUGUUCUGUCUUUGUAAAAAAAUAUUAUCGAUUUAGAAGAAUAGUAUUUUAGUUUUAGGUUUAUGAAACUGAUAUUACAAUAUACAUAAAAAUACAUAAAUAUAUGACAUAGAUAAAAAUAAUAAUAAAAUCUAGAGUAAAAAGCAUAAGAAAAAAAAUAAAAAACAAAAUGGAGAA